UUUGUUCUGCUGUAAACAGGUAUAAUUCGAGGUCCUGCGCUUUAGAGUAACUGAGAUACUGCUCUAAAUAAAAGAACAAAAUUUUAAUAUCAUGGAAAGGUUUACGAGUCUGUUUCUCAUGUUAUUUCUGUGUUCAGGAUGUGAAGCUGCUGAUGUACAUGAAAUUGUUCCAGAUCGUAAUUAUAUU
rnacentral:lncRNA from 1 species